AUUGAACGCUGGCGGCGUGCUUAACACAUGCAAGUCGAUCGGUAACGCGGGGGCAACCCUGGCGACGAGAGGCGGACGGGUGAGGAACGCUUGGGAAUCUGCCUAUCAGCGGGGGACAACACGGGGAAACUCGUGCUAAUACCGCAUACGCUCUACGGAGGAAAGCCGGGGACCGCAAGGCCUGGCACUGAUAGAUGAGCCCAAGCCGGAUUAGCUAGUUGGCGGGGUAACGGCCCACCAAGGCGACGAUCCGUAGCUGGUCUGAGAGGACGAUCAGCCACACUGGGACUGAGACACGGCCCAGACUCCUACGGGAGGCAGCAGUGGGGAAUAUUGGACAAUGGGGGAAACCCUGAUCCAGCGACGCCGCGUGGGUGAAGAAGGCCUGCGGGUUGUAAAGCCCUUUCGGUAGGGACGAAAGCUCUCGACCUAACACGUCGGGAGGUUGACUUAACCUACAAAAGAAGCACCGGCUAACUCUGUGCCAGCAGCCGCCGUAAGAC
rnacentral:rRNA from 1 species